AAUAGAUACCCGGGUAGUCCACGCCGUAAACGAUGAGUGCUAGGUGUUGGGGGGACCCCCCUCAGUGCCGCAGGUAACCCAAUAAGCACUCCGCCUGGGGAGUACGGUCGCAAGACUGAAACUCAAAGGAAUUGACGGGGGCCCGCACAAGCGGUGGAGCAUGUGGUUUAAUUCGAAGCAACGCGAAGAACCUUACCAGGGCUUGACAUCCCGCUGACCGGUGUAGAGAUAUGCCUUUCCCCUUCGGGGGACAGCGGUGACAGGUGGUGCAUGGUUGUCGUCAGCUCGUGUCGUGAGAUGUUGGGUUCAGUCCCGCAACGAGCGCAACCCUUGUUUCUAGUUGCCAGCACUUCGGGUGGGCACUCUAGAGAGACAGCCGGUGAAAGCCGGAGGAAGGUGGGGAUGACGUCAAAUCAUCAUGCCCCUUAUGUCCUGGGCUACACACGUGCUACAAUGGCUGGUACAAAGGGCAGCGAACCCGCGAGGGGGAGCCAAUCCCAAAAAACCAGUCUCAGUUCGGAUUGCAGGCUGCAACUCG
rnacentral:rRNA from 1 species